rnacentral:tRNA from 1 species
GCUCCCGUGGCUCAGUGGUAGAGCAGCUCACUCGUAAUGAGCAGGUCAUCGGUUCGAAUCCGAUCGGGAGCU